AGGGGGUUUGAUCAUGGCUCAGAUUGAACGCUGGCGGCAUGCCUAACACAUGCAAGUCGAACGGAAACGAUGGGAGCUUGCUCCCAGGCGUCGAGUGGCGGACGGGUGAGUAAUACUUAGGAAUCUGCCCAGUAGUGGGGGACAACUCGGGGAAACUCGAGCUAAUACCGCAUACGACCUACGGGUGAAAGUGGAGGAUCUUCGGACUUCACGCUAUUGGAUGAGCCUAAGUCGGAUUAGCUUGUUGGUGAGGUAAAAGCUCACCAAGGCGACGAUCCGUAGCUGGUCUGAGAGGACGAUCAGCCACACUGGGACUGAGACACGGCCCAGACUCCUACGGGAGGCAGCAGUGGGGAAUAUUGGACAAUGGGGGCAACCCUGAUCCAGCAAUGCCGCGUGUGUGAAGAAGGCCUGCGGGUUGUAAAGCACUUUCAGUAGAGGAAGAAAAGCUUAGGGUUAAUAACCCUGAGUCUUGACGUAACCUACAGAAGAAGCUCCGGCUAACUCCGUGCCAGCAGCCGCGGUAAUACGGAGGGAGCAAGCGUUAAUCGGAAUUACUGGGCGUAAAGCGCGCGUAGGCGGCUUUGUAAGUCGGAUGUGAAAGCCCCGGGCUUUAACCUGGGGAAUGGCAUUCGAUACUGCAUAACUAGAGUAUGGUAGAGGGAAGUGGAAUUUCCGGGUGUAGCGGUGAAAUGCGNUAGAUAUCGGAAGGGAACACCAGUGGCGAAGGCGACUUCCUGGGCCAAUUCUUGACGCU
rnacentral:rRNA from 1 species